CUGCAACCUGCUCACGGCCGGCGACACGAAGGAAUUGCGGGGAUGAGAGAGAGAGAGAGAGAGAGAGAGAGAGAGAGAGGAGAUGCUUCCGGAGGUGUGGGAGGAAAGGAGGGCAUCGUCGGCAUCGACUGCAACUCGUUUGUCUCAAUAAGAACUUGCUCUAUCAGCAUCAGGCAAGGAGAAACAAACAGAUGGCUAUAUAGAAACAGAAACGUGCAAUUUUCUUAAACAAUUAUUUGGAGAAGCACUCUGAGCUCAGACAUCAAGCAGUGACAGGAACCCAAUUAAAAGCGACGCACGCUAAAUCUGGAAAAAACGAGCAUGGCUAUAGCUGCAUUACACGCUGCAUUGGACUUUUGAACUUGGCCUGAUCCAGCGGUUUAGGCAAAAAUGAAGGUAAAGUUGAAUUGAGUGAAGUAGGCAGUGUGUAAGAAAGAAAAAAAUUAUGUAGUUUUUUUUUUAAAAAAAAAUAAGGUAGGUGUCUAUAGGA